GCCUGGGUGGCUCAGUCGUUGAGCAUCUGACUUCGGCUCAGGUCACGAUCUCACAGUCUGUGAGUUCGAGCCCCGCGUCAGGCU
rnacentral:tRNA from 1 species